UCCAUUCCAAUUCCUUUCCGAUACCUCCCAAGGAAAAUCUCGAAUUGGAUCCCAAAUUGACGGGUUAGUGUGAGCUUAUCCAUGCGGUUAUGCACUCUUUGAAUAGGAAUCCUUUUUCUGAAAGAUCCCGGCUUUCGUGCUUUGGUGGGUCUCCGAGAUCCUUUCGAUGACCUAUGUUGUGUUGAAGGGAUAUCUAUAUAAUCCGA
rnacentral:lncRNA from 1 species